rnacentral:rRNA from 1 species
UGGGGAAUAUUGCACAAUGGGCGAAAGCCUGAUGCAGCGACGCCGCGUGAGCGAUGAAGUAUUUCGGUAUGUGAAGCUCUAUCAGCAGGGAAGAAGAAUGACGGUACCUGACUAAGAAGCACCGGCUAAAUACGUGCCGGCAGCCGCGGUAAUACGGAGGGUGCGAGCGUUAAUCGGAAUGACUGGGCGUAAAGGGCACGCAGGUGGCGAGAUAAGUUGGAUGUGAAAUUCCCGUGCUUAACAUGGGGACUGCAUCCAAAACUGUUGAACUGGAGUACUGUAGAGGGAGGUAGAAUUCCACGUGUAGCGGUGAAAUGCGUAGAGAUGUGGAAGAAUACCAGAGGCGAAGGCGGCCUCCUGGACAGAUACUGACACUGAGGUGCGAAAGCGUGGGUAGCAAACAGGAUUAGAUACCCUGGUAGU